UACGGAGGAUCCAAGCGUUAUCCGGAUUCAUUGGGUUUAAAGGUUGCGUAGGCGGAAUGAUAAGUCAGUGGUGAAAGCCUGCAGCUUAACUGCAGAACUGCCAUUGAUACUGUCAAGCUUGAGUACAUUUGAUGUGGGCGGAAUGUGUCAUGUAACGGUGAAAUGCUUAGAUAUGACACAGAACACCGAUUGCGAAGGCAGCUCACAAAACUGUAACUGACGCUGAGGCACGAAAGCGUGGGUAUCAAACAGG
rnacentral:rRNA from 1 species